rnacentral:tRNA from 1 species
GGUUGUAGCUCAGUGGUAGAGCACUUGCCUAGUAUGUAUGAGGCACUGGGUUCAAUUCUCAGCACCA